AGUCAGAUGCUGCAGACCCGAAACGAAGUGAUCUAUCCAUGAGCAGCUUGAAGCUAGUGUAAGAACUAGUGGAGGAGCGAACCCGCUAGCGUUGAAAAGCUAUGGGAUGACUUGUGGAUAGGGGUGAAAGGCCAAUCAAACUUCGUGAUAGCUGGUUCUCUCCGAAAUAUAUUUAGGUAUAGCGUUGUGUCGUAAUAUAAGGGGGUAGAGCACUGAAUGGGCUAGGGCAUACACCAAUGUACCAAACCCUAUCAAACUCCGAAUACCUUAUAUGUAAUCACAGCAGUCAGGCGGCGAGUGAUAAAAUCCGUCGUCAAGAGGGAAACAACCCAGACUACCCGCUAAGGUCCCCAAAUCUUACUUAAGUGGAAAACGAUGUGAAGUUACUUAAACAACCAGGAGGUUGGCUUAGAAGCAGCCAUCCUUUAAAGAAAGCGUAAUAGCUCACUGGUCUAGUGAUUUUGCGCGGAAAAUAUAACGGGGCUAAAGUAAGUACCGAAGCGGUAGGCUUGUGCUUA
rnacentral:rRNA from 1 species